UACGAAGGGGGCUAGCGUUGUUCGGAAUUACUGGGCGUAAAGCGCGCGCAGGCGGCUAUCCAAGUCAGUGGUGAAAGCCCAGAGCUCAACUCUGGAAUUGCCUUUUAGACUGCAUCGCUUGAAUCAUGGAGAGGUCAGUGGAAUUCCGAGUGUAGAGGUGAAAUUCGUAGAUAUUCGGAAGAACACCCGUGGCUAAGGCGGCUCUCUAGUACGGUACUGACGCUGAGACGCGAAAGCGUGGGGAGCGAACAGG
rnacentral:rRNA from 1 species